rnacentral:lncRNA from 1 species
UUUUUUUCUCUUCCAGUCUAGGUUGCUAAUAUUAACAAUGAUUCUCAAACUUGGAGAAUCUUAAGAGUUUGGAUAUGAAUUGAUAGAUACUUAGAAAAAAGUAGUAUUUGAAGUUAAGUUCGAAAAAAGAUACUUGGAAGUCCAAUUUGACAUGCUUUUGUUUUUUCUUUUCCUUGCAUUAUUUUCCUUUUUCCUAUUUGUCCAUACGGCCAGCCAUAUGUGUUAGAAGUACAGUGCAACAGAUCUAAAGGAAGUGUACUAUUUUUCUUUCUUUCAUAUCUUAGGGCCUAUUGCCGCAAUGUCAUAACUGUAGACUACUUACAUUAGAUUGUUAUACCUUCCCUUUGUGUAACUUCAGCCUUGGUUAGCCCAUCCUACACCCUCUACCCCAAUGCCUCAACUUCAAUAAAUGAAGAGGAAAAAAGUUAAAAGAAAACCUGACACCCAAAGCAAGUAUGGUCUGCAGCUGGAAAAAUUCUCAUCCAUUCUCUUCUGAUUUCUUCUCACGAAUCUCUUUUUGUAAAUUAAGGCAAUAUUCUUUCUGCCUGCCUUAACUGAGGUGUGAAUUGGCUUUUAAAACUGACAACUGUGACAGGCUAGAAUUCAGCAUCAAGUGUAAUAUGAAUAUAUGAUGGAAAAAUCUGUGUUUUAUGUUUGAUGGUUGCAUGAAAAUAUAUGAGAAAGAGGAACUAUUCCAUUACUGGAACAAGAUUACUGCAAGCCCUUCAGUUUAAGCUAUGCAGUGUGGAUGCUGAGCCUCUGAUUUUGAUUAUUGGGGCCACCUUUUGACAGGCUGUCCAAUUUGGACUUGCAAAGGGCUUUAGAGCAUAGUUGCAUAUUUGUUGGUAAAAUUAAAAUGUUGAAUGAAAGUUGAAGCUCAAGAACUGAUCAAUGAUGAACCCAAGAAAAGUAAGUGAAUUGUUGCAAAUAUAAAGUAAACAUAGAAGUGUCAACUCACUAACAGCUUAAACUUUUGUUGAGUCAUAUGGUUCAAAAUGGUAUCAGAUCUGGAGCUCAAAUCUUAAGACAAUUUUACAGUAAAAUUAAAAUGUUGAAUCAAAGUUGAAGCUCAAGAACUGAUCAAAGAUGAACCCAAGAAAAGUAAGUGAAUUGUUGCAAAUAUAAAGUAAACAUAGAAGUGUCAACUCACUAACAGCUUAAACUUUUGUUGAGUCAUAUGGUUCAAAAUGGUAUCAGAUCUGGAGCUCAAAUCUUAAGACAAUUUUACAGCGAUCUAAAACAAAUUAUAAAAAUGUCAUUUCUCUUCCUCUAAAAAAGAUCAUUUCUCUUACAGACAAGCUUUUAGAUACGGCAGUUGACACUGUACAAUCUAACUGCAUGGCCAUGCUACUGCAUCUUACAAGGAUAUAUAUUGAUAUUUUUCUCUCAUUUCCAGACCUUAUGUUCUGAGCUGAAUAGACAAUUGAACUUUGCCGUGGGUUGAAUAGCUAAAAUUGUU